GUGAAGGUGGCGGAAUUUGUAGACGCGCUAGCUUCAGGUGUUAGUGUACUUAGGAUGUGGGGGGUCGAGUCCCCCCCCUCGCACCA
rnacentral:tRNA from 1 species